rnacentral:rRNA from 1 species
GAUCCUGAGUACGACGGAGCACGUGAAAUUCCGUCGGAAUCUGGGAGGACCAUCUCCUAAGGCUAAAUACUCUCUAGUGACCGAUAGUGAACCAGUACCGUGAGGGAAAGGUGAAAAGCACCCCGGAAGGGGAGUGAAAUAGAACCUGAAACCGUGUGCUUACAAGUAGUCAGAGCCCGUUAAUGGGUGAUGGCGUGCCUUUUGUAGAAUGAACCGGCGAGUUACGAUUUGAUGCAAGGUUAAGCAGUAAAUGUGGAGCCGUAGCGAAAGCGAGUCUGAAUAGGGCGUUUAGUAUUUGGUCGUAGACCCGAAACCAGGUGAUCUACCCUUGGUCAGGUUGAAGUUCAGGUAACACUGAAUGGAGGACCGAACCGACUUACGUUGAAAAGUGAGCGGAUGAACUGAGGGUAGCGGAGAAAUUCCAAUCGAACCUGGAGAUAGCUGGUUCUCUCCGAAAUAGCUUUAGGGCUAGCCUCAAGUGAUGAUUAUUGGAGGUAGAGCACUGUUUGGACGAGGGGCCCCUCUCGGGUUACCGAAUUCAGACAAACUCCGAAUGCCAAUUAAUUUAACUUGGGAGUCAGAACAUGGGUGAUAAGGUCCGUGUUCGAAAGGGAAACAGCCCAGACCACCAGCUAAGGUCCCAAAAUAUAUGUUAAGUGGAAAAGGAUGUGGCGUUGCCCAGACAACUAGGAUGUUGGCUUAGAAGCAGCCAUCAUUUAAAGAGUGCGUAAUAGCUCACUAGUCGAGUGACACUGCGCCGAAAAUGUACCGGGGCUAAACAUAUUACCGAAGCUGUGGAUUGUCCUUUGGACAAUGGUAGGAGAGCGUUCUAAGG